UACGUAGGGACCGAGCGUUGUCCGGAUUCAUUGGGCGUAAAGAGCUCGUAGGCGGCUGCUCAAGUCGAAUGUGAAAACUCGAGGCUCAACCUCGAGCCUGCAUUCGAUACUGGGCGGCUAGAGUCCGGGAGAGGUGAGUGGAACUGCGAGUGUAGAGGUGAAAUUCGUAGAUAUUCGCAAGAACACCAGUGGCGAAGGCGGCUCACUGGCCCGGUACUGACGCUGAGGUGCGAAAGCGUGGGGAGCAAACAGG
rnacentral:rRNA from 1 species